GAACGCUGGCGGCGUGCUUAACACAUGCAAGUCGAACGGAAAGGCCCUGCUUUUGUGGGGUGCUCGAGUGGCGAACGGGUGAGUAACACGUGAGUAACCUGCCCUUGACUUUGGGAUAACUUCAGGAAACUGGGGCUAAUACCGGAUAGGAGCUCCUGCUGCAUGGUGGGGGUUGGAAAGUUUCGGCGGUUGGGGAUGGACUCGCGGCUUAUCAGCUUGUUGGUGGGGUAGUGGCUUACCAAGGCUUUGACGGGUAGCCGGCCUGAGAGGGUGACCGGCCACAUUGGGACUGAGAUACGGCCCAGACUCCUACGGGGGGCAGCAGUGGGGAAUAUUGCACAAUGGGCGGAAGCCUGAUGCAGCAACGCCGCGUGCGGGAUGACGGCCUUCGGGUUGUAAACCGCUUUCGCCUGUGACGAAGCGUGAGUGACGGUAAUGGGUAAAGAAGCACCGGCUAACUACGUGCCAGCAGCCGCGGUGAUACGUAGGGUGCGAGCGUUGUCCGGAUUUAUUGGGCGUAAAGGGCUCGUAGGUGGUUGAUCGCGUCGGAAGUGUAAUCUUGGGGCUUAACCCUGAGCGUGCUUUCGAUACGGGUUGACUUGAGGAAGGUAGGGGAGAAUGGAAUUCCUGGUGGAGCGGUGGAAUGCGCAGAUAUCAGGAGGAACACCAGUGGCGAAGGCGGUUCUCUGGGCCUUUCCUGACGCUGAGGAGCGAAAGCGUGGGGAGCGAACAGGCUUAGAUACCCUGGUAGUCCACGCUGUAAACGGUGGGUACUAGGUGUGGGGUCCAUUCCACGGGUUCCGUGCCGUAGCUAACGCUUUAAGUACCCCGCCUGGGGAGUACGGCCGCAAGGCUAAAACUCAAAGGAAUUGACGGGGCCCCGCACAAGCGGCGGAGCAUGCGGAUUAAUUCGAUGCAACGCGUAGAACCUUACCUGGGUUUGACAUGGAUCGGGAGUGCUCAGAGAUGGGUGUGCCUCUUUUGGGGUCGGUUCACAGGUGGUGCAUGCCUGUCGUCAGCUCGUGUCGUGAGAUGUUGGGUUAAGUCCCGCAACGAGCGCAACCCUUGUUCACUGUUGCCAGCACGUUAUGGUGGGGACUCAGUGGAGACCGCCGGGGUCAACUCGGAGGAAGGUGGGGAUGACGUCAAGUCCUCAUGCCCCUUAUGUCCAGGGCUUCACGCAUGCUACAAUGGCUGGUACAGAGAGUGGCGAGCCUGUGAGGGUGAGCGAAUCUCGGAAAGCCGGUCUCAGUUCGGAUUGGGGUCUGCAACUCGACCUCAUGAAGUCGGAGUCGCUAGUAAUCGCAGAUCAGCAACGCUGCGGUGAAUACGUUCCCGGGGCUUGUACACACCGCCCGUCAAGUCAUGAAAGUUGGUAACACCCGAAGCCGGUGGCCUAACCAUUGUGGGGGAGCCGUCGAAGGUGGGACUGGUGAUUA
rnacentral:rRNA from 1 species